rnacentral:rRNA from 1 species
GAUGAACGCUGGCGGCGUGCUUAACACAUGCAAGUCGAACGAAGCAUUUAAGACAGAUUACUUCGGUUUGAAGUCUUUUAUGACUGAGUGGCGGACGGGUGAGUAACGCGUGGGUAACCUGCCUCAUACAGGGGGAUAGCAGCGGGAAACGGCUGGUAAUACCGCAUAAGCGCACAGUACCACAUGGUACAGUGUGAAAAACUCCGGUGGUAUGAGAUGGACCCGCGUCUGAUUAGCUUGUUGGCGGGGUAACGGCCCACCAAGGCGACGAUCAGUAGCCGACCUGAGAGGGUGACCGGCCACAUUGGGACUGAGACACGGCCCAGACUCCUACGGGAGGCAGCAGUGGGGAAUAUUGCACAAUGGAGGAAACUCUGAUGCAGCGACGCCGCGUGAGUGAAGAAGUAGUUCGCUAUGUAAAGCUCUAUCAGCAGGGAAGAUAGUGACGGUACCUGACUAAGAAGCUCCGGCUAAAUACGUG